AAUAAAGUAAAUGAAUGGAUAAUAUCUAAAGACUAAUCCCUUCGAUGCCAUAAAACCAUCGAAUUCACAACAGUCCUAUUUUAUGAUAUUUAUGCUACGCCAAGCUGUUUGGACGAACUCAUCAAAAUCAUUAGGUGCAAGAAUCAACAAAGCAAAUUGCUAUAUGGAUAUGUAAGUUACUAUCAAUUCUAUAUGCUUUCCUCUUUACUUUAGAUUGUUGUUAGAGAUUUUUGGAUUCAUGGAAGCCAAAUCUACAAAACAUAUAUGGUUUUAAUAAGUUUAUACUCUCUUUUUUUUUUAAAAAAAAAAAUAUGUUCUUCUCAGUCUAUAGUUCGCAACUAUAUAUGUGCAUUUAGUGACAGAUCUAGCUAAAGAUAAGGAAGGGAUUCAUUUAAUUAGAAAGAUGAUAAAAUAUUGUGAAUGGUGAUGCAUAAUAUGGAAGAUUAUUUGUAAUAAGGUUUGAAGUAAGUGUAAAUUAAAAAGUGAUAGGUCAUUCAAAUUUCAUAAACUAAUUAAUUAACUCACGGAGUUUAGCAUUAGGGGGUUACUUUGUAACUGCUAUGUUACCUCAAAAUCGAAGUGAGAUUAGUUUGUGAAAUAAGUCCAUACAUGAAGGAUGAACAAUGUAAAAGUUACCAUCCUCUAGUAUGUAAUAACAAAUCAAUGUAGCAAAAUGAUGGACACUAUUUAUAGGAGAAGAAAUGAUAGGAAAAUUACAAUUUUCCUUAGCAUGAUAAUGAAUAACCAAAUGAGUUAGAGCCAUAUAAUCUUUCUUUACUAACUAGAUACAAUUGUAACUUUAAUGUAGAAACUUGUUCUAGGAGUAUACAUAUAUAUAGUAAAGUAUCUAUACAAUUUAUACAAAGGCCAUGAUUGUUGUGUUCUUUAUAUCGUGUUAGAUGAGGAAAAAGUCAAUUUAAGUAAUCGUACAAAGAUAAUAUGCAAAGAUUUUAACAACAUAUGUGAUAUGUGCAUAUUGAACCAAUAUGGCUCCAAACAUGUGAUUCCAAGAAUUCAACCUUCUCCUCCACAAAGUGGAUAUCCUUUUAUAUUUAUUUGAAAAUAAAUACAUUUAUUUUUUCAACAACAAAUGCUCAUACGAUUCUCAAUGUUGUACUAAAAUUACGGCGACAUGUUUUCUAUCCGGAUAACUUUUUAUUGCAUUUUCAAGAGGUAUAUCAAUAUUGAGAAUAUAGUAUUAAACAUGACACAGUAACUACAAGUAUCUAACUAACUUAAUUAAUUUGAUUAUUUUUGCAAGUUCAAACAUUAUUUAAUCAUUUCAGAUUUAGGUAUUACGUUGACCAAAGAUAUACGUGGAAACACAUACAUAGAAACUAGUAUAUUUAAGUGUUUGAUAGUACUAAAAAGGAGAACAAAAAUUCUAUUGGUCUGUCAUUGCAGCUUAAAAGACAGGAUGUGACUCGUAACUGUGACGUCUCCUUUUCCAUCAAAAUCUUCAAUUUCCUUUUGAGAAAAUUUCAGAUCAUUUACAAACUUCAAAGUCAAAAUUUGAUUAAUCUCCAAUUCUCACAAAACCUCUGGAAUUUUCUCAGGUCAGUCCAUCAAACUCUACUCUCAAACGCGUAAUAAAGCAAACCUGUAUGUAUAUACAAUUAUUUGCAAAACUUCAGGAAAUUUUUUCAAGUUUCAUAUAUUCAUUGUGUAGAUCGGGUUUUUCAGUUGAUCUAAUGAACCCAUCGAUUUUUCUUUCAGGAGUUAAAUAAUUUUGAUUUUCUGAAGCUUUAACAAAAUUUAACAAUGUUUCCCCGACUCUUUGGAAAACCUAAACAAGAAACAAAUGCUCUAGCUACGCUAGACAAGUUAAACGAGGUAUGAUCUUGGUUUUGUUGGUUUUCUUCUUUAGAUUUUGUUUUAUUUUUAUUAUUUGUGGUUCUUUCAAUUUUCACUUUUAAGUUUGAUGAUGAUGAAAAUUCUUGUUAUUUGCUGGUUAUGGAAAGGGAGU
rnacentral:lncRNA from 1 species